rnacentral:rRNA from 1 species
UACGAAGGGGGCUAGCGUUGCUCGGAAUCACUGGGCGUAAAGGGUGCGUAGGCGGGUCUUUAAGUCAGGGGUGAAAUCCUGGAGCUCAACUCCAGAACUGCCUUUGAUACUGAAGAUCUUGAGUUCGGGAGAGGUGAGUGGAACUGCGAGUGUAGAGGUGAAAUUCGUAGAUAUUCGCAAGAACACCAGUGGCGAAGGCGGCUCACUGGGACGGUACUGACGCUGAGACGCGAAAGCGUGGGGAGCAAACAGG